rnacentral:snRNA from 1 species
AGCGAGGUGUGAGUGUCG